GAACACUCAUGAGCCUGUGGUACACGUU
rnacentral:sRNA from 1 species